CGCGGAAUAGAGCAGUUCGGUAGCUCGUCGGGCUCAUAACCCGAAGGUCGCAGGUUCAAAUCCUGCUUCCGCAACCA
rnacentral:tRNA from 2 species